rnacentral:ncRNA from 1 species
CGAUUGCCUGAUCGUAAAACAGGAGACGGCCGUGGCCGCGACCACGUAAAAAAGCGUA